UACGAAGGGGGCUAGCGUUGCUCGGAAUUACUGGGCGUAAAGGGAGCGUAGGCGGAUAGUUUAGUCAGAGGUGAAAGCCCAGGGCUCAACCUUGGAAUUGCCUUUGAUACUGGCUAUCUUGAGUUUGGGAGAGGUGAGUGGAACUCCGAGUGUAGAGGUGAAAUUCGUAGAUAUUCGGAAGAACACCAGUGGCGAAGGCGACUCACUGGCCCAAUACUGACGCUGAGGCUCGAAAGCGUGGGGAGCAAACAGGAUUAGAUACCCUGGUAGUCCACGCCGUAAACGAUGAGUGCUAGUUGUCGGCAUGCAUGCAUGUCGGUGACGCAGCUAACGCAUUAAGCACUCCGCCUGGGGAGUACGGUCGCAAGAUUAAA
rnacentral:rRNA from 1 species